AUCAUUGGAGAUCUGCUUAUUUGUAAAUAGCCUNUUGCUCAUUUGGAAAAAUAAACCAGUGGACAAUAUUUUUCUAUUGUACUUUUCAAAACCAUUUUGUCUCAUUACUCCUGUUUUAGCUGAAGAAUUUUAUUACAUUUGGAGAGUAAAGAUCUUAAAUACUGAUUCAUAAAGUUUUUCAAGUUAUUUGAGGGGAAUAUUUAUGUGCACUGCAGUUGGAAAUGAAAUGAAACUUUCAAGUGCCUCUUUCCUCUUUUUUUUUUGCUGGAAUGAAUGCGUCAUCUUAUGUUUGUUCUUCUUAAAGAACUUGCUGAAUCUGUGUUUUAUAGAACAAAGGUCUUCAAACCAGAUCCAAGCCCCCCUCUGCCUUCUUGAUACAAGUGUAUCUUUCAGGGCCCCUUAGUGAACCUGCUAGGCCCCUUAGAAUCUGCAUUUUAACAAGUGUCCACUUGCUGGUACUGUGUGCCUGAAUGUGCUCAGGAUUUUAGGGUGGAUCUAGCUACAGAAUAAAUUGCCCACAGUUGCCAUAUAAUCUAAGAAUCAAACAAAGUAAGAUCUUUGACGCCAAAGCAGCAAGCUUUGUGAAUGUGAAUUACACUCCCAGGACAGGUAUUUACCAUGUAAUGACAGUGAAGAUCCAGGAUAAUGACAUUGUGCUCACAGUAGGAAUUGCUGUCCUUCAGCCUAAUUGCCAUUUACUUUGUGGGAGUAGUUAGUUUUUCCUUGGAAAAAAGCACAGACGUUUUUAUUCUUCAGUAAGGAAGAGCUAGUAUACAUCCUGAUGACAAAGUCAGUUAAGUUCUCUCCUGUUUAUCGUAAUAGGGAACCAUAGGACAGGGUAUGAGCAAUUGCUUUGUUGAGCCUCAGUGCCCAUCAGGUGUCCCAGUGAUCCUUUAACACUGGCCACUUCCUUCCCUAAUCUCAUUCUUGCCCGCAUGUGCUCCUCUUCCUGACAUCAGUGUUGAUGAUGGAAGUGCUGCCCUCUCUUCAUCAAGACUCUGGCUCUAGAGAUGCCGUUGGAGCCCUUCACUCCCCUGGCAUUGCCAUGCCUGAACUCAGUACUCCUGGCCUGUGGGCUCAUGCUCCAGUUGGACACUCCCUCUUCCUAAAACACCCCUCCAAAUCAGUAGCUCUGGUUCUCCCUGCCGUCCAGAAAGAAGACUCUGUAGGACCCACAGGGUGCCACCUCCAGCCGAACAGUCUCUUCGCUCAUGAGGACGUCAAGUCUCUCUCCGCCUGCUUUCCCUCCGCCUGGAGCGCUCUCCCUGCCUCGCCUCUGACUCAUCUUCCAGGAGACCCUGAAACUCCCCCGCGUCCACCCUGGUGUCAUUUCAGGCCCUCCCAGCGUGGUGACACAGGUGGAGAGUCUCCCUGGACCGCGGUCCUGGGUCUCUUCUAGGCGAUGACCGCGCACGCUGGGCCCGCGUCUGCAGAAGCCUGCAGUGCCCCACAGUGCCCGGCCCUCCAUCCGUGCUCUGGUCCUCACCUUGCAUGCCUCCCCACAGAUUAUGCCCCGUCCCGCCUGCCCACUGCACGGCUUCCCACACUCAUGACCUACAGAUGAGUCCUUCUUCCCUUAAACUUGGAACGCUUUCUAGUUAGAACUCUGUUUCACUUGUUACUUUAGACUUUCUCUUAGCUUGUGUAACUUUAUUUUUUUUUUUUUACUUUAUUUUGCUUUAUAAUACAGUAUUGGUUUUGUCAUACAUUGACAUGAAUCUGCCACGGGUGUACAUGAG
rnacentral:lncRNA from 1 species